rnacentral:lncRNA from 1 species
AGGCCAUCGAUUCAGUGAUUCGAGUAGCCCUCCGUCAUGCAGUCCAACACCAAGCGAAAUCUCUGAUUCUGCCAUCGCUGACAACGGUCGUACUUCCACCGCCUGCCAGACCUCUUUCUUUUACCCGCAAGUAUUGGAAAAUGAGAUGAAAUUUCCCUAUAUCGACCUGUCUGGCUGGAGGAGAGAGGAAGUGUGUUGUGGCAUUAUAUUUAAAGGUCCUAAUGGGGAGGUGUUGGUUGAUCCCAAAUGGCUUAAACCGUACUGCUACUGCUCCCGAGGACAAACUAGAACUAUGGUGAAACAAGACUCGCUUGGAAGUUAGGGAAUAAUUGGGUCCAUAUAUUUAGAACGGUGAACUGUCUAUAAGACUGGAACGAUAACUCUGGCGUUGUUUUCGACGCCAAGAUGGCGGACAUUUAAGACCGUUUUGUAGGUGUGCUCCAAUGCUUUAAUAGCAGGGUGUUAGCUAGCCCAUUCUAGGUCUACUGGAAGAUUUUCAUUUUUCUGAUGAUAAAGUGAAUGGGGUUUAUUUUAUAUUAUUAUAUCAAAGAACGUUUUGUUUACUUUUUCCCAUUAACUAUUUUCCAAAUUGUGUAUCGCGUUUUACUCAUAUUGGGUGUGUAUUCACCGAAAUUAUAUGUACAAAACAAAGUGUAAUCGGGUGCAUUUUUUCAGUGUUCAUUCACCGGAAAUGAAAUGUACAAAACCAAGCUACCGUUGUUUGCAUCUAAGGAGUAACACUAACUAACACGUUGGAAAAAACCACUAUUUAUUCCUACACAAGGACUUUGAUCGGUUAAAAAUACUUUCCCAAUUUACGUUUAACGGACAAAACUUUUUUUCUGGCUAACACCCUGUUAAUAGACAGAUUUAGAAAAGACAACGAGGCAAACACAACGACACAAUCUGAAUUUCAGCUCAAGAUUGAGAGUUGAUCAAUUUCUAAACUAGUUUCUUUUGGGAUUGUUUUUUAUUAAUUGCGUUAGCGUUACCAUUUAACACCUCUUCCAUCUUCCGAAAAUGACGUCAUAUCAGUUUGGUGGAUGGAAACAAGUGCCGACCCAAGCAUAGGGCCCUUUUAUCUGGAGUUAUCGUUCCAGUCUUUAUAUAGAGUUCACAGAUUUGGAAUCAUUAUGUUGACGUGUUUGUAUCUAUUGUGUGCAUAUAUAUGUGUCCAUAUACUUUUAUGCCCUCGGUCGCAUCCAAGGGGUUGUUUAUAUGGAGGGGAGCCAGCCCGCAAAAUUAUAUUUAGUAGGAAAUAGGCGGGAUCUCGCCUAAACCGGGCCAGCUCGGGUACCCAGGCUCGCCCCAUAUAAACAGCCCCUAAAUCAUGGUCACAGUAAUUCAACAUGUUGGCCAACGUUAAACGACUUAAACCGUGUUUACACUACAGACUAGAGGUGUGCAUCGGAUUGGAUUGGACGUUUAUAAUCCAACAAUUGCCUAAUGUUUAAAAUCCGAUCCGAUCCAAGUUUUGAUAAAGAAUUCCAAUACGAUCCGAAGAAUUCUUUAAUAAAAUAAAUUUCUCAUUCAAGUUGAAAUAUUUAACCAAAUAAAUAUAAAAGCAAGAAAUACAUGUCAAGAAGCUGACAAAGUGACGUCCAAUUGAAGUAUCUAACGAAUAAUGUAGCGACAACCGCGAUGAUGCUUUGAUAAAUGCAUGGAUAAUUAAUUCUUGCGAUAAUGCGUGGAUAAGUCAUUUUAUUUCGGAUAUAGAAGUCCGAUCCGACUACGAAAGAACUUUAUCAAUCCGAUCCGAAAUGAAUAUUUUGGUUCCGAAAUCCGAUCGGGUCGGUUUCGGAUCGGAUUUGCACACCUCUACUACGGACUGACGUUUACCCGAGACGUACCUGUACCUGAAAAGUACCUAACUGUGACCAACAUGGUGUGUUUAUACUAGAAACCUGGGAAAAGCCCGUUCUGUUGUAAACAGGAAUAGUGUUUCAGGCUUACAAAAAGAUUUAGAUAUUUUACUAUUCUUGAAUAUGAAUAUAAUAAAGUGGAAAUUGAACUUCGAAUCG